rnacentral:snRNA from 1 species
AUACAUGCCUGGUGCCGGAGCCUCGUUGAUCAGCAAGGACGAGCCCCCAGGGCGAGGCGCGGGAAUUGCACUGCGCUCGCGUUGACCCCUGCUACAACUCCAAAUUGGGGCAGAUGGGGCAUGCAAAUUUAUUAAAUCCGGUUCAACGCAAGAGAGGGCGCCACCGC